GAUGAACGCUGGCGGCGUGCUUAACACAUGCAAGUCGAACGAUGAAGCCCAGCUUGCUGGGUGGAUUAGUGGCGAACGGGUGAGUAACACGUGAGUAACCUGCCCUUAACUCUGGGAUAAGCCUGGGAAACUGGGACUAAUACCGGAUAGGAGCGUCCACCGCAGGGUGGGUGUUGGAGAGCUUUAUCGGUUUUGGAUGGACUCGCGGCCUAUCAGCUUGUUGGUGUGGUAGUGGCUCACCAAGGCGACGACGGGUAGCCGGCCUGAGAGGGUGACCGGCGACACUGGGACUGAGACACGGCCCAGACUGCUACGGGAGGCAGCAGUGGGGAAUAUUGCACAAUGGGCGCAAGCCGGAUGCAGCGGCGCCGCGUGAGGGAUGACGGCCUUCGGGUUAUAAACCUCUUUCAGUAGGGAAGAAGCGAAAGUGACGGUACCUGCAGAAGAAGCACCGGCUAACUACGUG
rnacentral:rRNA from 1 species